rnacentral:rRNA from 1 species
GGGCGUAAGAGCUCGUAGGCGGUUUGUCGCGUCUGCUGUGAAAUCCGGAGGCUCAACCUCCGGCCUGCACUGGGUACGGGCAGACUAGAGUGCGGUAGGGGAGAUUGGAAUUCCUGGUGUAACGGUGGAAUGCGCAAAUAUCAGGAGGAACACCGAUGGCGAAGGCAGAUCUCUGGGCCGUAACUGACGCUGAGGAGCGAAAGGGUGGGGAGCAAACAGGCUUAGAUACCCUGGUAGUCCACCCCGUAAACGUUGGGAACUAGUUGUGGGGUCCAUUCCACGGAUUCCGUGACGCAGCUAACGCAUUAAGUUCCCCGCCUGGGGAGUACGGCCGCAAGGCUAAAACUCAAAGGAAUUGACGGGGACCCGCACAAGCGGCGGAGCAUGCGGAUUAAUUCGAUGCAACGCGAAGAACCUUACCAAGGCUUGACAUAUACGAGAACGGGCCAGAAAUGGUCAACUCUUUGGACACUCGUAAACAGGUGGUGCAUGGUUGUCGUCAGCUCGUGUCGUGAGAUGUUGGGUUAAGUCCC